AGAUUGAACGCUGGCGGCAUGCCUUACACAUGCAAGUCGAACGGCAGCACGGGAGCAAUCCUGGUGGCGAGUGGCGAACGGGUGAGUAAUAUAUCGGAACGUGCCAGUCGUGGGGGAUAACGUAGAGAAAUUUACGCUAAUACCGCAUACGAUCCAAGGAUGAAAGCGGGGGACCUAAGGCCUCGCGCGACUGGAGCGGCUGAUAUCAGAUUAGCUUGUUGGUGAGGUAAAAGCUCACCAAGGCGACGAUCUGUAGCUGGUUGAGAGGACGACCAGCCACACUGGGACUGAGACACGGCCCAGACGUCCACGGAGCAGCGAGUGGGAAUUUGGA
rnacentral:rRNA from 1 species